CCUACGGGUGGCAGCAGUGGGGAAUAUUGGACAAUGGGGGGAACCCUGAUCCAGCGACGCCGCGUGAGUGAAGAAGUAUUUCGGUAUGUAAAGCUCUAUCAGCAGGGAAGAAAGAAAUGACGGUACCUGACUAAGAAGCCCCGGCUAACUACGUGCCAGCAGCCGCGGUAAUACGUAGGGGGCAAGCGUUAUCCGGAUUUACUGGGUGUAAAGGGAGCGUAGACGGCGAUGCAAGUCUGAAGUGAAAGGCGGGGGCCCAACCUCCGGACUGCUUUGGAAACUGUAUGGCUGGAGUGCAGGAGAGGUAAGUGGAAUUCCUAGUGUAGCGGUGAAAUGCGUAGAUAUUAGGAGGAACACCAGUGGCGAAGGCGGGUUCCUGGACAUUAACUGACGCUGAGGCACGAAGGCCAGGGGAGCGAAAGGGAUUAGAUACCCGUGUAGUC
rnacentral:rRNA from 1 species